UCCGAUUUUAAUAUCGGCAGUCCCAUUAGAGUGCCCAACUGAAUGUAGCAACUAAUGGCAAGGGUUGCGCUCGUUGCGGGACUUAACCCAACAUCUCACGGCACGAGCUGACGACAGCCAUGCAGCACCUGUGUUACGGUUCCCUUUCGGGCACUCUCACAUCUCUGCGAGAUUCCGUACAUGUCAAGGGUAGGUAAGGUUCUUCGCGUUGCGUCGAAUUAAACCACAUGCUCCACCGCUUGUGCGGGCCCCCGUCAAUUCCUUUGAGUUUCAACCUUGCGGUCGUACUCCCCAGGCGGGGUACUUCCUGCGUUAGCGCCGGCACCCAGAGGGUCGCUCCCCCAGGCACCUAGUACCCAUCGUUCACGGCGUGGACUAC
rnacentral:misc_RNA from 1 species